GUGAGGGACGACGGAGUCCCAGUGCAAAAUUCCGUGAAAGAGGUGAGCCUCGUGCCAGAAGCCCGUUGAAAGGCUGUCUACAUCGUUUUAAACUGUGUGAUUGUGAGGGUGAGUGGGAA